AUGGGAUGGGGUCACUUUGCAUGUCUCUUAUCGCCGCUGUCGCUCACGGAGUGCGUUCUGUUCUGCGCUGUUCGAGUUCUCUCCUCAGCUCAGCAGAGCUCUUCUCACAAAUCGAGCUUCCCAACCCUCCCGCCUGGCUGUCAUACUCAAGCUACAGCCACCCAAACAGCAUCCCCAUUGAACAUCAGUCAGCUGCUCCAGCACUGUGAAAGGACAAACAUUUCCCUCCCACCAGAAGAGGAACCUUUGACAGGUGGAAGGACCUGUUCUCAUUCUCCUGAGACCAGCAGGAACAGAACUGUGCUAUGGGAGCAUUCUCAGAACACUCCCAGGAAUUCUUAGAGACCAUCUUCAUCACCCUCACCAUCACUACCACAACCAUUAUGCCCUCUCAUGCUCCAAGACUGUUGUGAGCCUUGUACGUUGCAAAUGGAACAUAAUGCUGCAGUGGUUCUUAAAGCCAAACCAAACAAAAACUUUUAAAGUCAUUGCUAUGAGCACCCAUGCACUCUUGGUAGCUAAAACACAAUAAGGAUUGUGUCUGACCACCCAUUACAGCAAAGUAUGCUAGGGAAAGCAGCAGUUUGUUAUUUUCACCCCCAAAUGGUGCACAUCAAUUUACUUAGGACAUGUUUGAUCCACGGUGGAUGUUUCUGCUAACUGUGAAUGCAGAGCAGCCCCUUUGCAGAAGCAUUGAUGGGAGUUGGUGCAGAGCAUUCCCAUCUCCUUUGUGUUACAGAGGACAGAUCCAAGAGCAGCCUGUGCUCGCAGGGAGUCCACCAGCUGCACACAUCUGUUGGAGGGAAUAGAG
rnacentral:lncRNA from 1 species